AUCUCCCAUUCCCCCUUCUCCAACUCCUUCCUUCAGCAAACCCUAGCCUCCACCAAAGAAAGCAAACCUAGUCUCCACCAAGUCGGAGUGAGAGACUGCUGCCUCCGUCCAUCGCACUCAAGAACUUCCGUCUUCGUGCUCUCGGGCCUCUCGCCGGAUCCUACACGUCGGGUGCUCGCAUCUCGCCGUUCUCCUCUGUGCUCGGCUGCUCGCGCCUACCUCUGCCAGUGAGUGCUCGAGCUGUGCGUGUUGGUUGCUGCUCGAUUCUGCCUCCCAGUCUCACUCGAGUCUCGUCUCAGUCACUGGCAUCUCGUGGUUUGUCUGUCUCGUCGCUGGCGGCAGAAGCAACUCGUGGGGUUGUCUCUUGCUUCUUCGCCUUCCGUGGGGUGGUCGCCGACUCGCCGUCGACCGUUGCUGAAGAAAUUGGAAGGGCUGGAUGAGGAGACAUUGAUGCCUCAGAAGACAUCUUGAGGUUUUGAUGAUUGAUAACUCUUUAUGUUGACAUUUAAUAUUUGAUAUUUCUUUAUACUAUUUAACUUGAGUUUGUAUAUUAAUAAGAUUAUAUGAAUUUGAUUGAUGACAUUAAAUGUAGUUUUUUAAAUUUGAAAACUAUUUUAAUAUUUAUAUUAUACUAUAAUUAUAUUUUA